rnacentral:lncRNA from 1 species
GGCAAGAAAACUGAAAAUCAUGGAAAAUGAGAAACAUCCACUUGACAACUUGAAAAAUGACGAAAUCACUGAAAAACGUGAAAAAUGAGAAAUGCACACUGUAGGACCUGGAAUAUGGCGAGAAAACUGAAAAUCACUGAAAAUGAGAAAUACACACUUUAGGACAUGAAAUAUGGCGAGGAAAACUGAAAAAGGUGGAAAAUUUAGAAAUGUCCACUGUAGGACAUGGAAUAUGGCAAGAAAACUGAAAAUCAUGGAAAAUGAGAAACAUCCACUUGACAACUUGAAAAAUGACGAAAUCACUGAAAAACGUGAAAAAUGAGAAAUGCACACUGUAGGACCUGGAAUAUGGCAAGAAAACUGAAAAUCACGGAAAAUGAGAAAUACACACUUUAGGAUGUGAAAUAUGGCGAGGAAAACUGAAAAAGGUGGAAAAUUUAGAAAUGUCCAUUGUAGGACAUGGAAUAUGGCAAGAAAACUGAAAAUCAUGGAAAAUGAGAAACAUCCACUUGACAACUUGAAAAAUGACGAAAUCACUGAAAAACGUGAAAAAUGAGAAAUGCACACUGUAGGACCUGGAAUAUGGCGAGAAAACUGAAAAUCACGGAAAAUGAGAAAUACACACUUUAGGACGUGAAAUAUGGCGAGGAAAACUGAAAAAGGUGGAAAAUUUAGAAAUGUCCACUGUAGGACAUGGAAUAUGGCAAGAAAACUGAAAAUCAUGGAAAAUGAGAAACAUCCACUUGACGACGUGAAAAAUGACGAAAUCACUGAAAAACGUGAAAAAUGAGAAAUGCACACUGUAGGACCUGGAAUAUGUCG